rnacentral:rRNA from 1 species
UACGUAGGGGGCAAGCGUUGUCCGGAAUUAUUGGGCGUAAAGAGCGCGUAGGCGGUCCGGUAAGUCGGUUGUGAAAGUCGGGGGGCUCAACCCUCGGAUGCCGAUCGAUACUGUCGGGCUAGAGUCCGGAAGAGGCGAGUGGAAUUCCUGGUGUAGCGGUGAAAUGCGCAGAUAUCAGGAAGAACACCUAUGGCGAAGGCAGCUCGCUGGGACGGUACUGACGCUGAGACGCGAAAGCGUGGGGAGCAAACAGG